rnacentral:rRNA from 1 species
GGAAUUGACGGAAGGGCACCACCAGGAGUGGAAUCUGCGGCUUAAUUUGACUCAACGCGGGAAAACUCACCAGGUCAGGACACGGUAAGGAUUGACGGACUGAAGGCUCUUUCUCGAUUCCGUGGAAAGUGGUGCAUGGCCGUUUUUGGUUGGUGGAUCGAUCCGUCUGGUUAAUUCCGUUAACGAACGAGACCUCGGCACUCCGAAUAGCGCGGCGGACGUCGCGGCCUCCGGGCCGUCUUCCGCACGAGCUUCUUAGAGGGACCGUCCCCCGCCGGGGGAAGGAGGUGCGAGGCAACGACAGGUCUGUGAUGCCCUUAGAUGUUCUGGGCCGCACGCGCAUUACACUGACGCGUCCAACGGGUGACUCCCGACCCGAAGGGGCCGGGGAAUCCGCAAGGCGCGUCGUGAUGGGGAUUGAACGUUGCAAUUGUUGUUCACGAACGAGGAAUUCCUAGUAGGCGCGGGUCAUCAACCCGCGCCGAUUACGUCCCUGCCCUUUGUACACACC